UACGUAUGGAGCAAGCGUUAUCCGGAUUUACUGGGUGUAAAGGGAGCGCAGGCGGCUUUGCAAGUCUGAUGUGAAAGGCCGGGGCUCAACCCCGGGACUGCAUUGGAAACUGUAAAGCUAGAGUGCCGGAGAGGUAAGCGGAAUUCCUAGUGUAGCGGUGAAAUGCGUAGAUAUUAGGAGGAACACCAGUGGCGAAGGCGGAUUGCUGGACAGUAACUGACGCUGAGGCGCGAAAGCGUGGGGAGCAAACAGG
rnacentral:rRNA from 1 species